GUCCCUGUAGCGCAAUGGAUGGCGCGUUGAACUUCCAAUCCAAAGGUUGUGGAUUCGAAAACCACCCGAGAUG